CUCAAUCAAUGGAAUGUAUGAGUCAUAAAUCUCAAUACUGUUAAAAUGUCUAUUCUUCCUACAUUGAUCUAUAAGAAUUCCAAUCAAAUCACAGCUGUAUUCCUUAUUUUAGAAAUUGAGAAACUAAAACUCUGAAAUGUACGUCGAUGGGUAGACGACCUAUAAAGGCAAAUUACUUUGACAGGAAACAAUUACUUUGAAAACAGGUGCUGUGGGAGAAUUAACAGCACCUGGUUUCAAGACUUAUCAAGUUACAGUACUUAAGACAAUGUAGUACAAAUAUAGAUAUACACAAGUAUAUCAGCUUUCAGCUAGUUUUUAAUAAAGUUCUUAGAGCAUUCAUGGACAUAACAUUUUCAACAAAUGCUUCUGAAACAAUUAGAUAUCCCAGUGUGUGUGUGUGUGUGUGUGUGUGUGUGUGUGUGUGUGUGUAGCUCAGUACUUCACACCUGAGAGGUAUGAGCGUGCAUUACCAAGGGGAACUGGGAAGCUUUGAGAGUAUUGGAUAUGCUCACUGACCCCUUCAUGGUGAUUGUUUAAUGGGCACAUGUAUACGUCAAAUUCAUCUCAUUACACUUUAAAUAUUGGUAGUGUGUUUUAUGUUCAUUAGACAUGAAUAAAGCUGUAAAUGUUAUCAAAAUAUUCACUUACUAUGCUUUUAUUCAUUUUACUCUCUCUCUCCACAGACCUUCAGAUAGAAAAUGCAGUUCAAAGAUAUUUCAUAAAGGAAGAAAAGAAGUAUGAAUACAGGAUAGCAAAUACAGAAAGAAUUCUUGUGAUAAUAGAGAACACAGAACUGUUGAACGGUGUUGAAGCUGAGCUGGAGAGAGUCACCAAAGCUGGCGCGGAAGCUGGCAAGGUCGGAGAGUUUCCUGCCUGGGCACAGCUUGAGCUCGCCCCUGCGCCGCCGCCAGUGGCGGAAACUGCAGACCCAGCUGGGACCUGAGGCCUCGGCCCCAUCCUCCCACCAGCCAGGAGCUGUGCUGAGGUCGCAGAUAGGAGACCCUGGAGGGGCG
rnacentral:lncRNA from 1 species